UACAGAGGGGGCAAGCGUUGUUCGGAAUUACUGGGCGUAAAGGGCGCGUAGGCGGCCCGCUAAGUCGAACGUGAAAUCCCCGAGCUCAACUCGGGAACUGCGUCCGAUACUGGCAGGCUCGAAUCCGGGAGAGGGAUGCGGAAUUCCAGGUGUAGCGGUGAAAUGCGUAGAUAUCUGGAGGAACACCGGUGGCGAAGGCGGCAUCCUGGACCGGCAUUGACGCUGAGGCGCGAAAGCCAGGGGAGCAAACGGG
rnacentral:rRNA from 1 species